CUUUUAGCUUUUGCUGUUUUAGAGGUCUUAGUUCCAAAGGGAGAAAUUCUUCUACCAGGUGUCACAACAAUAAUCCCAUUUUCUGAUAGUUAAGACUGCCACCAUGCCACUUGGGGCUCCUCAUAGAACUGAAUCAAUAGGCAAAUAAGGUUACUCUAUUGGCUAGUAAGACUGAUUCUGACUAGCAAUGGGAAAUUCAGUCACUACUAUACAGUGAGGAUAUGGAGAAUUAUGUCUGCAGUCAGAUUUUCUAGGGUGUACUCUCAUGUCUCAUGAUGUAAGCCAAUAGAAAACUACAACCCAAUUCAGACAAGACUGCUAGUGGCCCAGAUGCUUCAGGAAUAAAGGUUUGGGUUACCCCACCAGGCAAAGAGUCAUGAAUAACUGUAGACAAAGAGAAUUGGAAUGGGUAGUGAAAGCAAGUCGUUAUAAAUACCAGCCA
rnacentral:lncRNA from 1 species